rnacentral:rRNA from 1 species
GAUGAACGCUGGCGGCGUGCCUAAUACAUGCAAGUCGAGCGAACAGACGAGGAGCUUGCUCCUCUGACGUUAGCGGCGGACGGGUGAGUAACACGUGGAUAACCUACCUAUAAGACUGGGAUAACUUCGGGAAACCGGAGCUAAUACCGGAUAAUAUAUUGAACCGCAUGGUUCAAUAGUGAAAGACGGUUUUGCUGUCACCUAUAGAUGGAUCCGCGCCGCAUUAGCUAGUUGGUAAGGUAACGGCUUACCAAGGCGACGAUGCGUAGCCGACCUGAGAGGGUGAUCGGCCACACUGGAACUGAGACACGGUCCAGACUCCUACGAGAGGCAGCAGUAGGGAAUCUUCCGCAAUGGGCGAAAGCCUGACGGAGCAGCGCCGCGUGAGUGAUGAAGGUCUUCGGAUCUUAAAACUCUGUUAUUAGGGAAGAACAAAUGUGUAAGUAACUAUGCACGUCUUGACGGUACCUAAUCAGAAAGCCACGGCUAACUACGUG